rnacentral:rRNA from 1 species
GUCGAGGGGCAGCAUGGGGGAGUAGCAAUACUCUCUGAUGGCGACCGGCGCAAGGGUGCGUAACGCGUGAGCAACUUGCCCUCAUCAGGGGAAUAAUCGCUGGAAACGGCGUCUAAUGCCCCAUGGCGAUGGAAUCAGGCAUCUGGUUCCAUCUAAAGAUCCGUCGGAUGAGGAUAGGCUCGCGUGACAUUAGCUUGACGGCGGGAUAACGGCCCACCGUGGCGACGAUGUCUAGGGGUUCUGAGAGGAAGGUCCCCCACACUGGAACUGAGACACGGUCCAGACUCCUACGGGAGGCAGCAGUGAGGAAUAUUGGUCAAUGGCCGGAAGGCUGAACCAGCCAUGCCGCGUGAAGGUCAGUGCCCUAUGGGCGUUAAACUUCUUUUGUGCGGGAGCAAUAAGGUCCACGUGUGGACCGACGAGAGUACCGUACGAAUAAGCAUCGGCUAACUCCGUGCCAGCAGCCGCGGUAAUACGGGGGAUGCAAGCGUUAUCCGGAUUUAUUGGGUUUAAAGGGUGCGUAGGCUGUGAGGUAAGUCAGCGGUGAAAUGCCCCCGCUCAACGGGGUGAAGUGCCAUUGAUACUGCCUUGCUGGAAUGCGGAUGCCGUGGGAGGAAUGUGUGGUGUAGCGGUGAAAUGCAUAGAUAUCACACAGAACACCGAUUGCGAAGGCAUCUCACGAAUCCGCGAUUGACGCUGAUGCACGAAAGCGUGGGUAUCAAACAGGAUUAGAUACCCUGGUAGUCCACGCUG